rnacentral:rRNA from 1 species
CUACGUGCCAGCAGCCGCGGUAAUACGGAAGGUCCGGGCGUUAUCCGGAUUUAUUGGGUUUAAAGGGAGCGUAGGCCGGAGAUUAAGUGUGUUGUGAAAUGUAGACGCUCAACGUCUGACUUGCAGCGCAUACUGGUUUCCUUGAGUACGCACAACGUUGGCGGAAUUCGUCGUGUAGCGGUGAAAUGCUUAGAUAUGACGAAGAACUCCGAUUGCGAAGGCAGCUGACGGGAGCGCAACUGACGCUUAAGCUCGAAGGUGCGGGUAUCGAACAGGAUUAGAUACCCUGGUAGUCCGCACAGUAAACGAUGGAUGCCCGCUGUUGGUACCUGGUAUCAGCGGCUAAGCGAAAGCAUUAAGCAUCCCACCUGGGGAGUACGCCGGCAACGGUGAAACUCAAAGGAAUUGACGGGGGCCCGCACAAGCGGAGGAACAUGUGGUUUAAUUCGAUGAUACGCGAGGAACCUUACCCGGGCUUGAAUUGCAGAGGAAGGAUUUAGAGAUAA